rnacentral:rRNA from 1 species
CGGACGGGUGAGUAAUGUCUGGGAAACUGCCCGAUGGAGGGGGAUAACUACUGGAAACGGUAGCUAAUGCCGCAUAACGUCGCAAGACCAAAGAGGGGGACCUUAGGGCCUCUUGCCAUCGGAUGUGCCCAGAUGGGAUUAGCUAGUAGGUGGGGUAAUGGCUCACCUAGGCGACGAUCCCUAGCUGGUCUGAGAGGAUGACCAGCCACACUGGAACUGAGACACGGUCCAG